UACGUAGGUGGCGAGCGUUGUCCGGAAUUACUGGGUGUAAAGGGCGUGUAGGCGGGAUUGCAAGUCAGAUGUGAAAUUCCAAGGCUCAACUUUGGAGCUGCAUCUGAAACUGUAAUUCUUGAGUGCUGGAGAGGAUAGUGGAAUUCCUAGUGUAGCGGUGAAAUGCGUAGAUAUUAGGAGGAACACCAGUGGCGAAGGCGGCUAUCUGGACAGUAACUGACGCUGAGGCGCGAAAGCGUGGGGAGCAAACAGG
rnacentral:rRNA from 1 species